UACAGAGGUCUCAAGCGUUGUUCGGAUUUACUGGGUGUAAAGGGCGCGUAGGCGGUCAGCACAAGUCAGUUGUGAAAUCUCCGGGCUUAACUCGGAAAGGUCAACUGAUACUGUGCGACUAGAGUGCAGAAGGGGCAACUGGAAUUCUCGGUGUAGCGGUGAAAUGCGUAGAUAUCGAGAGGAACACCUGCGGCGAAGGCGGGUUGCUGGGCUGACACUGACGCUGAGGCGCGAAAGCCAGGGGAGCGAACGGG
rnacentral:rRNA from 1 species